rnacentral:rRNA from 1 species
GACGAACGCUGGCGGCGUGCUUAACACAUGCAAGUCGAACGAUGAAGCCGGAGCUUGCUCUGGUGAAUUAGUGGCGAACGAGUGAGUAACACGUGAGUAACCUGCCCUUGACUCUGGGAUAACUGCGGGAAACUGUAGCUAAUACCGGAUACGACCCUCGGAGGCAUCUCCUGGGGGUGGAAAGAAUUUCGGUCAAGGAUGGACUCGCGGCCUAUCAGCUAGUUGGUGAGGUAAAGGCUCACCAAGGCGACGACGGGUAGCCGGCCUGAGAGGGUGACCGGCCACACUGGGACUGAGACACGGCCCAGACUCCUACGGGAGGCAGCAGUGGGGAAUAUUGCACAAUGGGCGCAAGCCUGAUCCAGCAACGCCGCGUGAGGGAUGACGGCCUUCGGGUUGUAAACCUCUUUUAGCAGGGAAGAAGCGAAAGUGACGGUACCUGCAGAAAAAGCACCGGCUAACUACGUGCCAGCAGCCGCCGUAA